GAUGAACGCUGGCGGCGUGCCUAAUACAUGCAAGUCGAGCGAACAGACGAGAGUGCUUGCACUCUCUGACGUUAGCGGCGGACGGGUGAGUAACACGUGGGUAACCUACCUAUAAGACUGGGAUAACUUCGGGAAACCGGAGCUAAUACCGGAUAAUAUUUAGCUUCGCAUGAAGCAAUAGUGAAAGACGGUUCUGCUGUCACUUAUAGAUGGACCCGCGGUGUAUUAGCUAGUUGGUGAGGUAACGGCUCACCAAGGCAACGAUACAUAGCCGACCUGAGAGGGCGAUCGGCCACACUGGGACUGAGACACGGCCCAGACUCCUACGGGAGGCAGCAGUAGGGAAUCUUCCGCAAUGGACGAAAGUCUGACGGAGCAAUGCCGCGUGAGUGAAGAAGGUUUUCGGAUCGUAAAACUCUGUUGUAAGGGAAGAACAAGUACGUUAGUAACUGAACGUACCUUGACGGUACCUUACCAGAAAGCCACGGCUAACUACGUG
rnacentral:rRNA from 1 species